rnacentral:rRNA from 1 species
AACGAACGCUGGCGGCAGGCUUAACACAUGCAAGUCGAACGAUGAACCAGGGCUUGCCCUGGGGAUUAGUGGCGAACGGGUGAGUAACACGUGGGCAACCUGCCCCAGACACCGGGAUAACCUCUCGAAAGAGUGGCUAAUACCGGAUACGACCACUUUGGGCAUCCAACGGUGGUGGAAAGGAUUCUGGUCUGGGAUGGGCCCGCGGCCUAUCAGCUUGUUGGUGGGGUAAUGGCCUACCAAGGCGACGACGGGUAGCCGGCCUGAGAGGGCGACCGGCCACACUGGGACUGAGACACGGCCCAGACUCCUACGGGAGGCAGCAGUGGGGAAUAUUGCGCAAUGGGCGAAAGCCUGACGCAGCGACGCUGCGUGAGGGACGAAGGUCUUCGGAUUGUAAACCUCUUUCAGCAGGGACGAAGCGAAAGUGACUGUACCUGCAGAAGAAGCACCGGCUAACUACGUGCCAGCCGCCGCAGUAA